rnacentral:tRNA from 1 species
AUUUAUAUAGUUUAAAAAAAACUUUAUAUUUUCAUUAUAACAAUAGAAGAUUUCUUAUAAAUA